AUUCAACUGAUGAGUCCAAAAUGGGACGAAACUCGUGUCCUUUAU
rnacentral:hammerhead_ribozyme from 1 species